rnacentral:rRNA from 1 species
CACGUAGGAGGCGAGCGUUGUCCGGAAUCAUUGGGCGUAAAGAGCGCGCAGGCGGCUUGGCAAGUCGGGUGUGAAAUCCCGGGAGCAUCCACCCGUGACUGCAUCCGAUACUGUCAGGCUAGAGGUAGGUAGGGGAGAUCGGAAUUCCUGGUGUAGCGGUGAAAUGCGCAGAUAUCAGGAGGAACACCGGUGGCGAAGGCGGAUCUCUGGGCCUUACCUGACGCUCAGGCGCGAAAGCUAGGGGAGCGAACAGG